GGUGAAGAACGUAGCGAAUUGCGAUAAGUAAUGUGAAUUGCAGAAUUCAGUGAAUCAUCGAGUCUUUGAACGCACAUUGCGCCCCCUGGUAUUCCGGGGGGCAUGCCUGUCCGAGCGUCAUUGCUGCCCUCAAGCACGGCUUGUGUGUUGGGCCGUCGUCCCCCUCCUAGGGGACGGGCCCGAAAGGCAGCGGCGGCACCGCGUCCGGUCCUCGAGCGUAUGGGGCUUCGUCACCCGCUCCGUAGGCCCGGCCGGCGCUUGCCGACGACCAUCAAUCUCUUUCUCCAGGUUGACCUCGGAUCAGGUAGGGAUACCCGCUGAACUUAAGCAUAUCAAUAAGCGGAGGA
rnacentral:misc_RNA from 1 species